rnacentral:rRNA from 1 species
GGCGAUCUACUGGAACAUUACUGACGCUCAGAUGCGAAAGCGUGGGGAGCAAACAGGAUUAGAUACCCUGGUAGUCCACGCCCUAAACGAUGUACACUAGUUGUUGCUAUACUAGAUAUGGCAGUAAUGCAGUUAACACUUUAAGUGUACCGCCUGGGGAGUACGGUCGCAAGAUUAAAACUCAAAGGAAUAGACGGGGACCCGCACAAGCGGUGGAGCAUGUGGUUUAAUUCGACGAUACGCGAAAAACCUUACCUGGCCUUGACAUAGUAGGAAUCUUUAAGAGAUUAGAGAGUGCUAGCUUGCUAGAACCUACAUACAGGUGCUGCACGGCUGUCGUCAGCUCGUGUCGUGAGAUGUUGGGUUAAGUCCCGCAACGAGCGCAACCCACGUGAUUAGUUGCUAACGGUUCGGCCGAGAACUCUAAUCAGACUGCCUUCGUAAGGAGGAGGAAGGUGUGGACGACGUCAAGUCAUCAUGGCCCUUACGGCCAGGGCUACACACGUGCUACAAUGGGAUAUACAAAGAGUCGCAAUACCGCGAGGUGGAGCAAAUCUAGAAAAUAUCUCCCAGUUCGGAUUGUUCUCUGCAACUCGAGAACAUGAAGUUGGAAUCGCUAGUAAUCGUGGAUCAGCAUUGCCACGGUGAAUACGUUCCCGGGUCUUGUACUCACCGCCCGUCACACCAUGGGAGUUGAUUUCAUUCGAAGCGGGGAUGCUAAAGUAGCUACCUUCCACAAUGGGAUUAGCGACUGGGGUGAAGUCGUAACAAGGUAACC